AUUGAACGCUGGCGGCAGGCCUAACACAUGCAAGUCGAGCGGAUGAAGGGAGCUUGCUCCUGGAUUCAGCGGCGGACGGGUGAGUAAUGCCUAGGAAUCUGCCUGGUAGUGGGGGAUAACGUCCGGAAACGGGCGCUAAUACCGCAUACGUCCUGAGGGAGAAAGUGGGGGAUCUUCGGACCUCACGCUAUCAGAUGAGCCUAGGUCGGAUUAGCUAGUUGGUGGGGUAAAGGCCUACCAAGGCGACGAUCUGUAACUGGUCUGAGAGGAUGAUCAGUCACACUGGAACUGAGACACGGUCCAGACUCCUACGGGAGGCAGCAGUGGGGAAUAUUGGACAAUGGGCGAAAGCCUGAUCCAGCCAUGCCGCGUGUGUGAAGAAGGUCUUCGGAUUAUAAAGCACUUUAAGUUGGGAGGAAGGGCAGUAAGUUAACACCUUGCUGUUUUGACGUUACCAACAGAAUAAGCACCGGCUAACUUCGUG
rnacentral:rRNA from 1 species